rnacentral:rRNA from 1 species
AUACGGAGACCUCGAGCGUUACUCGGAUUCACUGGGCGUAAAGGGUGAGUAGGUGGCCAAGUAUGUCAGGUGUGAAAUCCCGGGGCUUAACCCCGGAACUGCGCCUGAAACUACUUGGCUAGAGUCUCGGAGAGGAUAGUGGAAUUCCAAGUGUAGCGGUGAAAUGCGUAGAUAUUUGGAGGAACACCAGUGGCGAAGGCGACUAUCUGGACGAGUACUGACGCUCAAUCACGAAAGCAUGGGUAGCGAAAGGGAUUAGAUACCCCUGUAGUCCAUGCCGUAAACGGUGUGUGCUAGACGUUGGAAAUAUAUUUUUCAGUGUCGCAGCGAAAGCAUUAAGCACACCGCCUGGGGAGUACGACCGCAAGGUUAAACUCAAAUGAAUUGACGGGGACCCGCACAAGCAGUGGAGCAUGUGGUUUAAUUCGAAGAUACGCGCAGAACCUUACCAACACUUGACAUGUUCGUCGCGAGACUAAGAGAUUAGUC